GUAUCACAACAAUGAUUAUGUUCGGUUCUUUUUAGUUCACAGCACAUAAUUAAGCAAGUCCCCCAUACACUUGUAUGAACCAACCAUAUCACCAUGACGCCACCCAACUACUCCUGUAAUAUGAUAGCUAUAAAACUGCAGGUGAGUUCUACUUUGGUCCUUGGGAUUCUAUUCCUGACACAUGACUUGGAUUCCUGUGGUUUUUAUUCUUCACGAUUUAGUACGAGUUAUUUCGGAUACCUAAUCUGGUGUUUCCGAGUUUGGAAGAUACUUGCUUACGUCACUGAAAAUGGUAUGAGCCCUCAUAAUAGAGCCUUGCACCACGCGUCAACAAGCUCCAAGGGACCAGUAUCUUAAAACGAGUAGGGGCAUAACAAGGCCUCUAAUAGGUUCGUCUGGAAGGGAAACCAAUAAGGCCUACAUUGUCACAGACUAUCGAUUUACAAACGAGGCAAGACA